rnacentral:tRNA from 1 species
UAGCCUAGUGGUCAAGGCUGUGGAUCGCCAAUCCGGAGACGGCGGGUUCGAUUCCCGU